rnacentral:rRNA from 1 species
GAUGAACGCUGGCGGCGUGCCUAAUACAUGCAAGUCGAGCGAACAGACGAGGAGCUUGCUCCUCUGACGUUAGCGGCGGACGGGUGAGUAACACGUGGAUAACCUACCUAUAAGACUGGGAUAACUUCGGGAAACCGGAGCUAAUACCGGAUAAUAUAUUGAACCGCAUGGUUCAAUAGUGAAAGACGGUUUUGCUGUCACUUAUAGAUGGAUCCGCGCCGCAUUAGCUAGUUGGUAAGGUAACGGCUUACCAAGGCAACGAUGCGUAGCCGACCUGAGAGGGUGAUCGGCCACACUGGAACUGAGGCACGGUCCAGACUCCUACGGGAGGCAGCAGUAGGGAAUCUUCCGCAAUGGGCGAAAGCCUGACGGAGCAACGCCGCGUGGGUGGUGAAGGUCUUCGGAUCGUAAAACUCUGUUAUUAGGGGAGAACAAAUGUGGAAGUAACUAUGCACGUCUUGACGGUACCUAAUCAGAAAGCCACGGCUAACUACGUG